rnacentral:rRNA from 1 species
AGCGUACACGGUGGAUGCCCUGGCAGUCAGAGGCGAUGAAGGACGUGCUAAUCUGCGAUAAGCGUCGGUAAGGUGAUAUGAACCGUUAUAACCGGCGAUUUCCGAAUGGGGAAACCCAGUGUGUUUCGACACACUAUCAUUAACUGAAUCCAUAGGUUAAUGAGGCGAACCGGGGGAACUGAAACAUCUAAGUACCCCGAGGAAAAGAAAUCAACCGAGAUUCCCCCAGUAGCGGCGAGCGAACGGGGAGCAGCCCAGAGCCUGAAUCAGUGUGUGUGUUAGUGGAAGCGUCUGGAAAGGCGCGCGAUACAGGGUGACAGCCCCGUACACAAAAAUGCACAUGCUGUGAGCUCGAUGAGUAGGGCGGGACACGUGGUAUCCUGUCUGAAUAUGGGGGGACCAUCCUCCAAGGCUAAAUACUCCUGACUGACCGAUAGUGAACCAGUACCGUGAGGGAAAGGCGAAAAGAACCCCGGCGAGGGGAGUGAAAAAGAACCUGAAACCGUGUACGUACAAGCAGUGGGAGCACGCUUAGGCGUGUGACUGCGUACCUUUUGUAUAAUGGGUCAGCGACUUAUAUUCUGUAGCAAGGUUAACCGAAUAGGGGAGCCGAAGGGAAACCGAGUCUUAACUGGGCGUUAAGUUGCAGGGUAUAGACCCGAAACCCGGUGAUCUAGCCAUGGGCAGGUUGAAGGUUGGGUAACACUAACUGGAGGACCGAACCGACUAAUGUUGAAAAAUUAGCGGAUGACUUGUGGCUGGGGGUGAAAGGCCAAUCAAACCGGGAGAUAGCUGGUUCUCCCCGAAAGCUAUUUAGGUAGCGCCUCGUGAAUUCAUCUCCGGGGGUAGAGCACUGUUUCGGCAAGGGGGUCAUCCCGACUUACCAACCCGAUGCAAACUGCGAAUACCGGAGAAUGUUAUCACGGGAGACACACGGCGGGUGCUAACGUCCGUCGUGAAGAGGGAAACAACCCAGACCGCCAGCUAAGGUCCCAAAGUCAUGGUUAAGUGGGAAACGAUGUGGGAAGGCCCAGACAGCCAGGAUGUUGGCUUAGAAGCAGCCAUCAUUUAAAGAAAGCGUAAUAGCUCACUGGUCGAGUCGGCCUGCGCGGAAGAUGUAACGGGGCUAAACCAUGCACCGAAGCUGCGGCAGCGACGCUGAUGCGUUGUUGGGUAGGGGAGCGUUCUGUAAGCCUGUGAAGGUGUGCUGUGAGGCAUGCUGGAGGUAUCAGAAGUGCGAAUGCUGACAUAAGUAACGAUAAAGCGGGUGAAAAGCCCGCUCGCCGGAAGACCAAGGGUUCCUGUCCAACGUUAAUCGGGGCAGGGUGAGUCGACCCCUAAGGCGAGGCCGAAAGGCGUAGUCGAUGGGAAACAGGUUAAUAUUCCUGUACUUGGUGUUACUGCGAAGGGGGGACGGAGAAGGCUAUGUUGGCCGGGCGACGGUUGUCCCGGUUUAAGCGUGUAGGCUGGUUUUCCAGGCAAAUCCGGAAAAUCAAGGCUGAGGCGUGAUGACGAGGCACUACGGUGCUGAAGCAACAAAUGCCCUGCUUCCAGGAAAAGCCUCUAAGCAUCAGGUAACAUCAAAUCGUACCCCAAACCGACACAGGUGGUCAGGUAGAGAAUACCAAGGCGCUUGAGAGAACUCGGGUGAAGGAACUAGGCAAAAUGGUGCCGUAACUUCGGGAGAAGGCACGCUGAUAUGUAGGUGAAGCGACUUGCUCGUGGAGCUGAAAUCAGUCGAAGAUACCAGCUGGCUGCAACUGUUUAUUAAAAACACAGCACUGUGCAAACACGAAAGUGGACGUAUACGGUGUGACGCCUGCCCGGUGCCGGAAGGUUAAUUGAUGGGGUUAGCGCAAGCGAAGCUCUUGAUCGAAGCCCCGGUAAACGGCGGCCGUAACUAUAACGGUCCUAAGGUAGCGAAAUUCCUUGUCGGGUAAGUUCCGACCUGCACGAAUGGCGUAAUGAUGGCCAGGCUGUCUCCACCCGAGACUCAGUGAAAUUGAACUCGCUGUGAAGAUGCAGUGUACCCGCGGCAAGACGGAAAGACCCCGUGAACCUUUACUAUAGCUUGACACUGAACAUUGAGCCUUGAUGUGUAGGAUAGGUGGGAGGCUUAGAAGUGUGGACGCCAGUCUGCAUGGAGCCGACCUUGAAAUACCACCCUUUAAUGUUUGAUGUUCUAACGUUGACCCGUAAUCCGGGUUGCGGACAGUGUCUGGUGGGUAGUUUGACUGGGGCGGUCUCCUCCUAAAGAGUAACGGAGGAGCACGAAGGUUGGCUAAUCCUGGUCGGACAUCAGGAGGUUAGUGCAAUGGCAUAAGCCAGCUUGACUGCGAGCGUGACGGCGCGAGCAGGUGCGAAAGCAGGUCAUAGUGAUCCGGUGGUUCUGAAUGGAAGGGCCAUCGCUCAACGGAUAAAAGGUACUCCGGGGAUAACAGGCUGAUACCGCCCAAGAGUUCAUAUCGACGGCGGUGUUUGGCACCUCGAUGUCGGCUCAUCACAUCCUGGGGCUGAAGUAGGUCCCAAGGGUAUGGCUGUUCGCCAUUUAAAGUGGUACGCGAGCUGGGUUUAGAACGUCGUGAGACAGUUCGGUCCCUAUCUGCCGUGGGCGCUGGAGAACUGAGGGGGGCUGCUCCUAGUACGAGAGGACCGGAGUGGACGCAUCACUGGUGUUCGGGUUGUCAUGCCAAUGGCAUUGCCCGGUAGCUAAAUGCGGAAGAGAUAAGUGCUGAAAGCAUCUAAGCACGAAACUUGCCCCGAGAUGAGUUCU